rnacentral:rRNA from 1 species
CUCUACUUGACUAGCUGAGAGGAGGUGCAUGGCCGUCGUCAGUUCGUACUGUGAAGCAUCCUGUUAAGUCAGGCAACGAGCGAGACCCACGCCAACAGUUGCCAGCUCGUCCUCCGGGGAUGGUGGGGACACUGUUGGGACCGCCUCUGCUAAAGAGGAGGAAGGAAUGGGCAACGGUAGGUCAGCAUGCCCCGAAUUAUCUGGGCUACACGCGGGCUACGAUGGGUGGGACAAUGGGUAUCGACACCGAAAGGUGAAGGCAAUCUCCUAAACCCAUCCGUAGUUCGGAUUGUGGGCUGCAACUCGCCCACAUGAAGCUGGAAUCUGUAGUAAUCGUGUCUCAAAAUGGCACGGUGAAUAUGUCCCUGCUCCUU